rnacentral:lncRNA from 1 species
GCGCGUGCUCCCGGAUCCUCGGCAGUGUCCGGCGCCCCCUUCCCUUCGCCAGGCCCGUUUGGCGCCUUCACUCGGGAAGACGUCGGCCAGGACUUUGCGCUUUGGAGACGUCUUACUUCGGCAGCACUCGCACACUGCGAGAUCCGACACGGGCAGCGGGGACCUAGGGAGCCGGGGACGCUGCCUGUCGGAGUUCUUCCCAUCAGACUCAUAGAGUUCAAGGCACACUGAAGAUAUGCUUCCAGGGGCUUGCAAUGUGUGUUGUCUUCGAGCUGGCAAAGGAGUCCCUGAUGGAAACAGCACUGUGAAUCUACUGGCUCCUGAUUCGUCCACACCCUAGUUAGCAGGAAACAAGGUGCAUACUCUUUGGUAUUUAUCUUUACAAUUGAAAAAAACUUCCCAUUAUAAAUGAGAUAUAUAUUCCUUAUUGAUAAACAGGACACUAGGCAAAGAGAAGAAAAUAGAAAUAAUCCUUAAUCCUACUUCACUUUAAAAAUAUAUUGAAACAUACCUCUCUCUAUAUUAGCUUAUGAUUAAUAUUAUACCUAACUUUUAUUUUUCUAAAAAACUAAGAGGUUAGAGAAAUAUUAACUAAAAGAAUAUAAGACAUACCUUAAAAGUAGGAUUAUAAAUCUAAAUUUAAGACCUGUCAGUAUACAAGGUUUUAUUGUAACAUCAUGGUAUGUAUAAAAACUUAUGGCAAUUAAUUUACUAUUUUUAUGUAAAGUAUAGAAAAGCUAAACAUACCUUAACUAGUAUACAAAAGCUAAACAUACCUUAACUAAAAUAUCUCUGGCUGAACACUCUAUCAUAAGAGAGUCUUCCACCAACAGGUUUUCUUUCCCAAUAAGAAUUCCUGCUUCUAUAGCUGCACCAAUAGGGAUCACUUCAUCAGGAGGGAUAGAAUUGAGAAGCUCAACAGCUGGGAAAAGAUCUUUAAUCAGUUGCUGUAGCUUUGGGAUUCGAGAAGACCCUCCACAAAGGACAACCUAGAGAAUAAAAAUAAUUUUCAGUUGUUUA